AUUGAACGCUGGCGGCAGACCUAACACAUGCAAGUCGAGCGGUAGCACAGAGAGCUUGCUCUCGGGUGACGAGCGGCGGACGGGUGAGUAAUGUCUGGGAAACUGCCUGAUGGAGGGGGAUAACUACUGGAAACGGUAGCUAAUACCGCAUAACGUCGCAAGACCAAAGUGGGGGACCUUCGGGCCUCAUGCCAUCAGAUGUGCCCAGAUGGGAUUAGCUAGUAGGUGGGGUAAUGGCUCACCUAGGCGACGAUCCCUAGCUGGUCUGAGAGGAUGACCAGCCACACUGGAACUGAGACACGGUCCAGACUCCUACGGGAGGCAGCAGUGGGGAAUAUUGCACAAUGGGCGCAAGCCUGAUGCAGCCAUGCCGCGUGUGUGAAGAAGGCCUUCGGGUUGUAAAGCACUUUCAGCGGGGAGGAAGGCGAUAAGGUUAAUAACCUCAUCGAUUGACGUUACCCGCAGAAGAAGCACCGGCUAACUCCGUGCCAGCAGCCGCGGUAAUACGGAGGGUGCAAGCGUUAAUCGGAAUUACUGGGCGUAAAGCGCACGCAGGCGGUCUGUCAAGUCGGAUGUGAAAUCCCCGGGCUCAACCUGGGAACUGCAUUCGAAACUGGCAGGCUAGAGUCUUGUAGAGGGGGGUAGAAUUCCAGGUGUAGCGGUGAAAUGCGUAGAGAUCUGGAGGAAUACCGGUGGCGAAGGCGGCCCCCUGGACAAAGACUGACGCUCAGGUGCGAAAGCGUGGGGAGCAAACAGGAUUAGAUACCCUGGUAGUCCACGCCGUAAACGAUGUCGAUUUGGAGGUUGUGCCCUUGAGGCGUGGCUUCCGGAGCUAACGCGUUAAAUCGACCGCCUGGGGAGUACGGCCGCAAGGUUAAAACUCAAAUGAAUUGACGGGGGCCCGCACAAGCGGUGGAGCAUGUGGUUUAAUUCGAUGCAACGCGAAGAACCUUACCUGGUCUUGACAUCCACAGAACUUUCCAGAGAUGGAUUGGUGCCUUCGGGAACUGUGAGACAGGUGCUGCAUGGCUGUCGUCAGCUCGUGUUGUGAAAUGUUGGGUUAAGUCCCGCAACGAGCGCAACCCUUAUCCUUUGUUGCCAGCGGUCCGGCCGGGAACUCAAAGGAGACUGCCAGUGAUAAACUGGAGGAAGGUGGGGAUGACGUCAAGUCAUCAUGGCCCUUACGACCAGGGCUACACACGUGCUACAAUGGCAUAUACAAAGAGAAGCGACCUCGCGAGAGCAAGCGGACCUCAUAAAGUAUGUCGUAGUCCGGAUUGGAGUCUGCAACUCGACUCCAUGAAGUCGGAAUCGCUAGUAAUCGUAGAUCAGAAUGCUACGGUGAAUACGUUCCCGGGCCU
rnacentral:rRNA from 1 species